CGGGAUGUAGCUCAGCUUGGUAGAGCGCGCGCUUUGGGAGCGUGAAGUCGCAGGUUCAAAUCCUGUCAUCCCGA
rnacentral:tRNA from 5 species